UGCAAUCUUUUCCAUUUCCUAAAUACUCCAAUUUUUUUAAGGGAUAUUAUCAAUGGUACCCCUGUACUAUAGCAAAAUAACAAUGGUACCCCAGUGUAUUUCAGUGGUAUCCCCCAACUAUAUGCUAAUUACAACCGUGACACUAUUAGUCAAUUUUCCGUUAAGUUGCCGUUAAAUGUGAAAUGACCUAACCAUGGUUAGUUUCUUCUUCUUCUUCUCCCCUUUUUCCUUUCCUUUUCAUGCUCUCCUUCCAUAGCUGCUUCAUCAUAGGUAGACUCAAUAGUAUUUAGAAAAAUCUUGUAAUUCUGAUCACAUGAAAGAUUAUCAUAAGCAUGUUCUAAUCCAUAAUUAAGCAUCCCUCUUAAUCCAGCCUCAUAAAUCUUAUAUUCAUGAAACUCUAGAAAUGAAAGCAUAUUAAAUCAUUACUCAUAUGAAUCUUUGAAUUUCUGCCUAUAUUUUUUUCAAUUUUACUUAAAUUGGCACAUAAAAUUUGUUCAAGAGCAUAUUGAAUCUUUCUUCCUUCCUCGUUCCCCCGCCCUCAUUUCCUGUGUUCAUUGUUGUUCUUCACUCCCCCACACCUGAUUCUUUAUUCCUCACUCCCUCAGUCCCUUACUUCAUCUCUAUUUCUUCCUCACGCGGUGUAGCCACAUCCUCCUCUUUCAUCUGCCUCACUCCCUCUCCGUCACGUCCUCAUGCGGUAACAAGAGAUUGGUGGAAGAUAGCGACCUGGCUGAGGCGGCAGGUACAUCAAGGGGCCAUCUAUUAGCUGAAGAAUACUAGAGUUUGAAAACUUCGGAGACAACGUAGAUUACUCCGGUAGCUUUGUUACGGAUAGAGAAUUUGUUUCCUUAGAUGAGUUACAUAUAUGGGCCGAUGCAAUAGCAAUAACAAUUGGUUUUCAAUUUACACGUGCUUCUUAUAAACAAAAAGAAGGGCGUUCUAGAGCUAGUGUGUAUUUAAGAUGUCACCGCUAUGGUAAUAUUAGGAGUGAUUUAUAUAAUCUAGAUAAUGCUGCCCAACCUGUUCUAAAAGUAGAAGUUGUGGGUGUAAAUUUUUGAUUGUAGCAAGUAGUCGUAAACCAGGAGAAAGACCUUGGACAGUAAGGGUGUGUCCUGGUGAAAAAUGAAGAUAUAACCACCCGUUCUUAGUGUACAGAGAUGGUCAUUUAAGGGCAAAUAGGAUCAAUGUAGAUAUUCGGGAACACAUACGAUAGUUUAGUGCAAUCGGAAUGCAACCGGCCUUUAGUAUGACUUUUAUUAGAGAAAAUUUUCCUGGUUUUUUUACUAGUAUGAAUCAGAUAUAUAAUAUAAGGCAAUCAAUAAGGAGAGAAGAGAUGGAGGGUAGGACUCCCCUUCAACACAGUCUUUAUAUGGCCACAAGACUUAAUUACGUGGUCUGGACAGACUUGGAUAUCGAAGGGGAAUUGACCAAAUUAUUAGUUGCAAAUCCUACCUCUAUCCAAAUGAUACGUACGUAGCCGUAUAUUGUGUUGAUAGAUAUAACGUACAAAAUAAACAAACAAAAGUGGCCACUGUGUGAAAUGAUUGGAAUGAUGCCAACCAAUCACAAUUUUUUGGUUGCGUUUUGUUUGAUGCGAGAUGAGGCGGCUGUGUCGUAUUCGUGGGUGUUGCAGGGAUUGAGAGAUUUUUUCGGCACAGUUCAGACUCCUAGCGUCAUUGUAAUCGAUCGAGACGAAGGUUUAUCUGCAGCUAUUCGUCACGUCUUCUCAGAUGUGCGACAUUUGUUAUGCAUUUGGCAUAAUGCAAACGACGUUGAGAAUAUGGUGGACAAGUUAUGUAGUAGUAAAAGAAAUGAACAAGGGCAAGUAUUCAGGAAAAGUAGAUAGAACCCUAUUGUUGAAAGUUCUACAAUCGACGAAUUUGAAGAAAGAUGGCAAGCGAUCGUGAAUACCUGGUCAUUUAGGAACAAAAAGGUCGUUGGUAUUUAGCUGGAACUUGGAUUCUACUUACAGAGAAAUUUGUGCGUGCGUGGACGAAUGAUUGUUUGCACAUGGGUAACCAGACUACCAGCAAAGUUGAAAGCCAACACUCGUCUUUCAAGUAUUACCUUGGUAGCAGUAAUAGCUCAUUUGAUACCCUGUUUAAAAGAGCACACGCACAGAUUACAAAUCAGCAAGCCAGGAUCCGACAAGCGUUAUAGGAAUUCAUGAAUUCUGUAGCAAGGUCGAUAUGACAAUAUUUUUUUAGACCUUUAUAUCGCCACGUAUCUAUCUAUGCCUUAGAGCAGCUGCAGCUUGAGCAUAACCGUAUAUUAGAAUUGGGUGAUUUUGUAUUUAACGAAUGCAGUUGUGUACUUCAAUACACCCAUGGAUUGCCGUGUCCUUGUUAUUUAUAUAUGUUCAUCGGUUCACAAGGUGCUUUGUAUGUGGAUGACAUUCAUCAUUCUAGAGUACUUUGAGAUACACAGAGGUAGGAGAUGACACCAACGAAGGAGUACGAUACGUGAACGCCAAUGACAAAUAGUACUUUCAAUCUCUGGUCGGUGAAGUUCUAAAAUCUAAUCCCGCAGUUGUACGACGAUUGUCUCAAGUACUUGAGUAUGAACUACAAGCUGAUGGAGUUGAAAUACCUGAGCCUUACGCAAGUCCACCUAGAAAGGGAAGACUAAGCACAAGCAAGACCCCGAGAAGU